rnacentral:lncRNA from 1 species
CCUGUUCUAGAAGGAUUUUCCGGCUCGGCCUUCAUUGGGCUUGCCUUGAGAUGCCACCACCAAAACCAGCCGAGGCGCCUAAAAUAUUGGGAUGAGAGAGAAGCGAAGGCUCCCCCCCCCCCCCCCGAAGAAACAUAAGCCCAUCCAAAUUCUACGCUACCAUCAUCCUUAACUAGGAAGACGUGGAAAUAUCAGCAGCGUCUGUUCGUCCUAGAGGAGUCACAUACCUGGUUAUUACAUGCCGCACUUAAGAUAGAGAAACAGUUUAUAUCCAGCCUUCUCACUGGAAAAGCUUCACUGACGGAGGGAUGCUGAUCGGAAGCGCGUCGAACCUUUGGCUGUAACCAUGGUCGUGGAACACGGGAGGAGACCGGAGAACCAGGGGACCAAAAUAUCCACCCUAAGAGGUCCUACCCUUUGAUGGGGAGGGAGGGAGGGAGAGAGAGAGAGAGAGAGAGAGAGAGAGGUAGGAGAGAGACGAAGAGCAUGCGAGAGAAGGAUGAGAAUAAAAACUCCAGAUCAACGGAGGAGGUUUAAUGCAACCCCAAUGCCGUCAUUGGAGUUGCAACUGGAGCUGUUAGUCAGUCGAGGAGGGUCCGAUGCCAAAAAGUAACCCUGACCCUCCUAAAACUGUGUUCAUGAGGUGGAUCUGAGCUCCCCAUAGAGCCCGACCCACGUUAGUGUACCCUAAACUAGACUUGGUAAAUGACAGAAAGGGUUGAUUGGCGAUCCAUCUUACCUUUCCCUUGUGGAGUUGAGUGAUUCUUAAAACCCAGAGCCCUAAUGAUAUGAGAGUUCUGAUGAGAUUAGGAGAGGGAGAGAGUGAGAGAGUGAAAGAGAGAGAAAGAGAGAGAGGGUUUGGUGUGGCGUGGUGCGGAGGUGGAAGUUAGCGAGAGCCUUUUGAACUUUUCAAGCACAUAGGUCUCUGACUAGGGCAUUCCAUGCCCCAAACUCAAAGAGAGAGCCUUCGGGAUAGCCGGAGCUGUUCUUGGAAGACUCGGUUAGUGGGUUCAGAGGUUUGUCGAGAUCCGCCCAGGAUUUGGAUCUGAUCGAGUCCCUCAGAUGCAAAGACAGGGUCAAGGGUUAGGGUUUGGUUUCCGAACCUGAGAGGGUCCGUGAUGCAUGUAGGAACUCCCUCUGCAUGCUGACCGACGUGAGCUGAGGACGACGACCCUUGUUUUGGGGGGUACGGAUGCCUGAUGCCCAUCCCACGAGCAAUAAGCAUGGGGACGCACCACCCCAGCCAUGAAUACUACCCACCACGUGCGGUGGUGGUAUGGCGACAGCCACGCAUCAUGGGCUUUGUUAGAGAGGAAGAAAGGAGGGCGGGAGGGAGAGAAGGACGCGACAGGCGGCACAGGACACGAAUAACUAAUAGGGAUAGACACAGACAAAGGAGGAGAGAGAGAGAGAGAGAGAGAGAGAGNNN